rnacentral:lncRNA from 1 species
GGACCGCAAGAUAACAUUCAUUUAUUUUCACUUAUUAUUUAAUUAAAUUUGAUUUAAAUACAUUUAUUUAUAGUGGAUUGGGAAACAAGUUUUUGCAACUUACAUUAAUCCCUUUCCACUUUGCGGGUGUGAGUGCUGCCAUGAAGCGGCAUUAGCCUGCUCUUUUUCGAAAUCUACAAGGGUGUCUUUAACAUUGCAAAAGAUAUGGCUCUCUUAUUGUUUGGAAGCAUGAUAGUGUAACGAAAGACAGUGUUAAUGAAUAUAUGACUUAUAAAUGUUUUGUUCCUCUGUCUUCCCUUGUAUCUUUAAUAUAUAUGUUAUUUCAUCAUCACAUACAAUUCUUGCGUAUGUUGAACAGUUAGCGCAUUGGCAAUCAUUGGCAAUCAUACCACAUCUCCAUAUAUUGAACUGUAU